CCUACGGGUGGCAGCAGUGGGGAAUAUUGCACAAUGGGCGCAACCCUGAUGCAGCGACGCCGCGUGAGUGAAGAAGUAUUUCGGUACGUAAAGCUCUAUCAGCAGGGAAGAAAAUGACGGUACCUGACUAAUAACCCCCGGCUAAUUACGUGCCAGCAGCCGCGGUAAUACGUCGGGGGCAAGCGUUAUCCGGAUUUACUGGGUGUAAAGUGAGCGUAGGCGGCUGUGCAAGUCUGAAGUGAAAUCCCAUGGCUUAACCAUGGAAGUGCUUUGGAAACUGUGCAGCUGGAGUGCAGGAGAGGUAAGCGGAAUUCCUAGUGUAGCGGUGAAAUGCGUAGAUAUAAGGAGGAACACCAGUGGCGAAGGCGGCUUGCUGGACUGUAACUGACGUUGAGGCUCGAAAGCGUGGGGAGCAAACAGGAUUAGAUACCCUUGUAGUC
rnacentral:rRNA from 1 species